UACGUAGGGGGCGAGCGUUAUCCAGAUUUACUGGGCGUAAAGCGCGUGUAGGCGGCUGGUUAGGUGUGAUGUGAAAUCCUCGGGCUCAACCCGAGAACUGCAUUGCAAACCGGCCUGGCUAGAGUGCAGGAGAGGGAAGCGGAAUUCCAGGUGUAGCGGUGAAAUGCGUAGAUAUCAAGUGGAACACCAGUGGCGAAGGCGAGUCUCUGGACAUUUCCUGACGCUGAGGCACGAAAGCCAGGGGAGCAAACGGG
rnacentral:rRNA from 1 species